AUUGAUAAUGACAGUCUAUAUAUUAUGUCUUGACCAAUUACCUGCCAKCAGUCGCGGUAAUACGUAUGAGACUAGUGUUAUUCAUCUUAAAUAGGUUUAAAGGGUACCUAKACGGCAAAUGUCACCUUUAAAAGGUUAUUAUUUUGCUAGAGUUUUAUGUGAAGAGGCCGUACUUGUGAGUGGAGAGUUAAAAUUCUGUGAUACCUGGGGGACGGAUAACGGCGAAGGCAGCCUCUUAUGUACAAACUGACGUUGAAGGACGAAGGCAUUGCGGCACGAAAAGGAUUAKGGACCCUAGUAGUCUUUGCAKAAAAUGAUGAAUGCCAUAGAUUAGGUUGUUACUUAGUUUAUAAAUGAAAGUGUAAGCAUUUCACCUCAAGAGUAAUGCGGCAACGCAGGAACUGAAAUCACUAGACCGUUUCUGACACCAGUAGUGAAGUAUGUUGUUUAAUUCGAUGAUCCACGAAAAAUCUUACCACAAUUUGAAUAGAAUAAAAUAAUUAUCUACGGUUACGGGUAGUUUAAUAUAUUUAUUCAUACAAGCGUUGCACGGCUGUUUCCAGUUAAUGUUGUGAAACUGUGGCAAAAGCCAUGGAAUUAACGUAAACCUGAGCUUUAUUUGUAAAUAUAUUAUUUUGAUAGGGCUGAUUCGUCCAUUAUAUYGGAUCUGAUAACAGGGACUAAGACAAGUCAUCAUGGCCUUGAUAUUGUGGCGCUAAAGAC
rnacentral:rRNA from 1 species